rnacentral:rRNA from 1 species
UACGGAGGGUGCAAGCGUUAUCCGGAUUUACUGGGUUUAAAGGGUGCGUAGGUGGGUAGGUAAGUCAGUGGUGAAAUCUUCGAGCUUAACUCGGAAACUGCCAUUGAUACUAUUAUCUUGAAUACUUUGGAGGUAAGCGGAAUAUGUCAUGUAGCGGUGAAAUGCUUAGAUAUGACAUAGAACACCAAUUGCGAAGGCAGCUGACUACAGGGAUAUUGACACUGAGGCACGAAAGCGUGGGGAUCAAACAGG